rnacentral:rRNA from 1 species
UACGGAGGGUGCAAGCGUUAUCCGGAUUCACUGGGUUUAAAGGGUGCGUAGGUGGGCAUGUAAGUCAGUGGUGAAAUCUCCGGGCUUAACCCGGAAGCUGCCAUUGAUACUAUUUGUCUUGAAUACUGUGGAGGUCAGCGGAAUAUGUCAUGUAGCGGUGAAAUGCUUAGAUAUGACAUAGAACACCAAUUGCGAAGGCAGCUGGCUACACAAAUAUUGACACUGAGGCACGAAAGCGUGGGGAUCAAACAGG